UUGGUGGCGAUAGCGAAGAGGUCACACCCGUUCCCAUGCCGAACACGGAAGUUAAGCUCUUCAGCGCCGAUGGUAGUUGGGGGCUUCCCCCUGUGAGAGUAGGACGCCGCCAAGCUGUUUAUAUUAUCGCGGGGUGGAGCAGUUCGGUAGCUCGUCGGGC
rnacentral:rRNA from 1 species